GGACUACUGGGGUAUCUAAUCCUGUUUGCUCCCCACGCUUUCGAGCCUCAGCGUCAGUAAAAGCCCAGCAGGCCGCCUUCGCCACUGGUGUUCCUCCUAAUAUCUACGCAUUUCACCGCUACACUAGGAAUUCCGCCUGCCUCUACUUCACUCAAGAAGUCCAGUUUUGGAUGCAGCCCCGCAGUUAAGCUGCGGUAUUUCACAUCCAACUUAAACCCCCGCCUACGCUCCCUUUACACCCAGUAAUUCCGGACAACGCUCGCCACCUACGUAUUACCGCGGCGGCUGGCAC
rnacentral:rRNA from 1 species